AAUUUCUUUCAGAUCAAUCAUAUUGUGAAAAUACAAUGCUUUUUGACACAAGUAAAUUUUAAAUUUCCACACAACAAAUCAAUACUAUCCAAAUGUUUUAUAAUUAUUAGCAAUAUUAUAACUGAUACAACAUAUGGCGCGAUGUCGUCGGAGGCGGAGGCGAACAGCCAGAACUGCAUGUCGGUCGAAGUGCGGAACAUUUAAGCGGUGCCGUUACUGUGAUAGACGAUAUAGGGUUCGCCUGCCGCGGCGGAGACCACGCCGUCGUCGCAGAUCAUGUUCCAGACGUAGACGAAGGUAUGCAAGACGCUGCAGGUCCCGGUCGAUUUGCUUCGAGUAAAUACCGCGACGAAGAGAAAUCGGUAGUCGCGGACAAUUUCUUCAGAAACAGACAGUAUCGUGGCAACGAUCUUUUAUAUUGUAUUGUUCAAAUCUUGUCGUCUAUGUGAUUGUUUAUUUUUUAUUUUAAAAUAUACACACGAUUUUAUUGA